rnacentral:rRNA from 1 species
UUCGGUCUUUGGAGCGGUGCGGAACCACCUCUUCUCAUUCCGAACAGAGCAGUGAAACGUACCAGCGCUCACGAUACUUCGAGCUCAGCUCGACUGGGACAAUAGGUCAAGGCCGGAG